UUACACAGGAAUAAAUCAGUAUGGCUUAAUGCACCAUACACCAGCAGGUAUAUGUGUCAAGUGGACUUAAUGGCUCUGAACAGCUUCACCUGGGACCUCACCCACACCCUGACCACAGGCCCUGGAUCCUAUUUAAGCUCAGCCCAGGGCUCUUACCUGCUCUUUGAGCUCUGCUGCAGGAGUGCUGGUCUGCAGCCUUGUUGUUGCCUGUGUUCCUUGGACUGAUGCUGUAGGAAGUAAAGAAAAAAACCUCUUUCUUCAUGAGCUGGGAGAUGAAUUGUUUAAAUUAGUGAGGAGUUCUCCCAGACUGUCAUGUUGGUGGGAGAGCAGUUCUUCAUCCAUGGAUCUCCUGCCUACACAGAGAAGAACAAGCUUCAGAGCAGAGGACUAGACAUGCAGGGAGGGAUUUUAGUCCCACAAAGGUCCUGCUUCAGAGCUUGCUGUGUGUGUUUGGUCGUCUUGCUUGUGUCCCUGUGAGCAUCAGGGUUAAGAGCUUCUGAACAGCACAUCCUCUGCCACCCAGCCUCUCCUGCUUGGGUCUCCUCCUUGUGUCAGGUCUCCAAAGCUGCCACCAGCAUUAGGUCACACAGCAUGUCUUCCCCUGCUGUGAUGCGGUGAGCUACAUCCACAGCCAGAUCUGCCUCACUGACCCUUGCUGAUCUUGCACGUCACCCACCCCAAUUCCCGGAAAGCCUCGGGCAUUUGUCCACUCUGUAACCUUCAGCCAACACAGCCUGGGCUAACGGGUUGAAUAGCUACAGAGGGAGCUGAUCUACUGGUACCACUCUAGCAGGUCCUUCUCCACAGAGAUACUUAAAUUUGUCCUCCAUGGAGAUGCUUCCUCUGUAUUCUUCCACUCAACUUGGAGGCAAUGGGAAGAUCUGCUGAAAUUGCAAGGCUCUCGGGAACAAAUAGUUUGAGAAGCUGAGGAAUGAGAGAUGCAGAGCUAAAUUUAGAAUCUCAGAUAAGAAAAUAUCUGUAUCUUCAGUGCUCUGUGGUUUUAUUUUGCUCUACACAAAGCACACCUUGGUUUUGCGUGGCUGUUUGCAGAUUGUACUGGCUCAAAGAUGGCUUGGGGAAAAUAGAAGGCUUUGAUGUCUUCAGUAAACAAAUAGCAGUGUUAAAAGAUCUUCAGUUCUUGUUAGCAUGCUGCAAACAGCUAUGUUUGAAGAAAAAUAAACAUCCCAAGCUAGAUGGAAGGGUAGGAAAGCCAUAAAGUACUGACCGUAGUCAAAUCAUUGGUAUGAGGACAUCAGGAAUGACAGUGCCAUGAAUGAACUUUUUAUCUCCUUUUGGAUGAAAUAGAAAAGAACAAACUGCUUAACUGCAAACUGUUUACCAGCCUGCUGUGAUAAUAUAUGGAUAUAAAUCACACCUAUGUGGUGAAACCGUUACCAUCCAAAUCACAAGAAAUACUAUCAAGUCUGCUAGGAAACUGAGGGUAGGAGUCUUGUCCUCCAACCAUUGGGGUGAGGGAGAGAAGACUCACCCUUUGUCCAACCCCUGUUUUGACUCAGCUUCCUCAGUGCUUCACCAGCUGCCCCAGGGCCGCCCGCCAGCACCUCUUUACUCUCACAGCUACAGGGCCUCAUCCCCCCGGAAACCUAUUGGCUUUUAAUUUGUGCAACCAGCCAGUUUGCAUGAGGAGGCACCAGAUAUGCAUUGCAUUCUCUGUGGGGAGGUUGAAGAUUUGGGGCUGUGUGCCUACCUGAGCUUUUACUCUGUAAAGCUUGUUGAACUUGCCUCACGGCAUCACCUACAAAGUCCCUUUGGCAAUGCAAAAGCUUCAGAAAUUAACCAAAUAAAAGAGCUAAACAAUGAUCUUGAUUAUGACAGCAUAACUGUAGGGAUGUUUCAUGAAUUUACAUUUAUAAACUUCUAACAAUCCAAAUUUGUUUCAGAAAGAAAGUUUGGGUUUUCUCUGGAAAAGCAAAUUACUAUCAUGACCUGCUGAUUUUUAAUCAAUACACCAAUAUUUAGUUCAAAUUAAAAACUUAUAAAGAUCCUCCAGGGAGCCUCUUGCUUUAGUUUUUAUGUAAUUCCAAACAUUUCUCUGUUUAAAGAGAGUUCACAGGAACUAGGAAAUAAAUAAUUCAGACAUAGUUGGCUGUUUUGUUUUUUAAAAGUCUCUGUAGCAUUGCUAACGUAUUUCCUUUGAUAACACUUUUGUUCUGCCUACCAAAACUCCAUUCCAAAUGGGACUGGUGAGGCAAACACUCAAUCCAGUUAACCAGGGCUUAUGAGAAAAAAAAAAGGCAAAAAUUCCAGAAAAAAAUAAGUUUAUGA